rnacentral:lncRNA from 1 species
CUUGCUCUGUUGGUUAUUUUCUUAAGUAUGUCAUGUUUUUAUUGAAAGUGUUAGUCUACUAUCCCAGCAACCAUUUUCAUUUGUAUUGUCAAGCUGCAUGCUCUCUGAGGCACUUAACACAAUUACCUCCUACACCUCAGAGAACACAUCAAUUUUACAUAGUUAGUGUUAAAGGCAAAUAAAUAUCCCGAAGGUUUUGUUAAA